AAGGUCUUAGCUUAAUUAAAGUGUCUGUUUUGCAUGCAGGAGAUGUGGGUUAAAGGCCCGCAGACCUUA
rnacentral:tRNA from 1 species